rnacentral:rRNA from 1 species
AUACGGAGGGGGCUAGCGUUGUUCGGAAUUACUGGGCGUAAAGCGCGCGUAGGCGGAUAGUUAAGUCGGGGGUGAAAUCCCGGGGCUCAACCCCGGAACUGCCUCUGAUACUGGCUGUCUUGAGUUCGAGAGAGGUGAGUGGAAUUCCGAGUGUAGAGGUGAAAUUCGUAGAUAUUCGGAGGAACACCAGUGGCGAAGGCGGCUCACUGGCUCGAUACUGACGCUGAGGUGCGAAAGCGUGGGGAGCAAACAGGAUUAGAAACCCCAGUAGUCC